AUCCUAACUUCCUAAAAGGAUUGGAGUCCCAGAGAAAGGACCAAGUUCCUUAAUGUCGGGUUGGAGUCCCAGAGAAAGGACCAAGUUCCUUAAUGUCGGGUUGGAGUCCCAGAGAAAGGACCAAGUUCCUUAAUGUCGGGUUGGAGUCCCAGAGAAAGGACCAAGUUCCUUAAUGUUGGGUUGGAGUCCCAGAGAAAGGACCAAGUUCCUUAAUGUCGGGUUGGAGUCCAAGAGAAAGGACCAAGUUCCUUAAUGUCGGGUUGGAGUCCAAGAGAAAGGACCAAGUUCCUUAAGGUCGGGUUGGAGUCUCAGAGAAAGGACCACGUGGGUACCAGAGAGACUGAUGAUCUGAUCUUGAAAACAUUACACUUUUUAAAAUGCUUUUUUAACUUUAACUUUUUUAGAUUUUCUAUCUAUUAUACUAUUUCUUUCUUUUACUUAUCUACUAUUUUAUUUCUAUUGUAGGAAAAUGUUUCUACGUGAAGCACUUUAGUCUGCCUUGUGUAUGAAAAGUGCUAUAUAAAUAAAGUUGCCUUGUCUUUCCUAAAACAUGUCUCCCUCCCCAG
ensembl:lncRNA